rnacentral:lncRNA from 1 species
AUUAGCUAUAUCAGAGUCCUUAUUGCCCUUGUAGCAACUCUAAAUGGAGAGCAACCUUCUUUCAAUCAAAGACCCCUCAUGGUUAACAAGGUCAUGCUCCAAAGCCUCCCCAGGCACAAAAACGGUUAAAAGAGAUGCCAUGCCGGGACGUACCUGCGCAGCUUUGAAGACAUCACUGUUGUGCUGGGAUACACAGGAAGCAGUGCAAAGAAUCAAUACGUCCAUCUCUGCAACAUUAAAAUUAAUCUUAAUGUUAUUUGGGCUUCAGAACACAAAGAAGAACAUCAGUAUAACCAAAAUGAGAUUCUGAAAGUUAUUUGUUCAUGUAAGUGUAAAGGAGAGAAUCUGCAAUGCAUGAAAAGGACAUCAUCUGUCAAUCAAAAGGAGCAUGCCAUUGGAAUGUUCCCAGGAAAAAGAGUUGGAGCUAAGCCAGCAGCUGAACUUGGAGAAACUUGCUUCUGAGCUAGGCUAAGAGACCCUUGUGGCUUCUGGAGAGGCUUUUGAACUAACUUUGGCUAGUGUGGCUGAUGGUGGUGGCUGAACCUGAAGAACUAAUUGUAUAUCUGAGAUUUGAGUUUGAAGAAGAAGAAAGAAGAAAAUAUUUGUCCUCUUAUUUCUCUCUGACUGUCUCUGAUAGUGACUGAUCGCCAUACUCCCAAUACCCUCCUAACUCCUUGUAUAGAUUAGGGAAACCCCCAUCCCGCUUACCUCAUUGUCUUCCCCAAUACACCCCUAACUUGAGAAAAGAGUAUCUUCUCUAAACCUCAUAGUUCACCUUGAGUUACUUAGAAGGUGGCUGACUAAAAGGGGGGAGGGGAAGGGAGGCAGGAGGGAGAGGGAGGAAAUAGGGGAGGCAUUUGAGGGAGGAGGGUAGGCAAAAUCUUGAUCCAUUAGCCAUCUAGUAGUGAUCCAUAGGCACCCCAGUAUCCUUUUAUUACAGAAGGUGUUAUUUGAACCCCAACUCAUUGUUUUUCAUGUUUACCUGCCCAUCUCAGUCCCACCAUUAAAUGUAACCAUUUGUCCAUUAGCAUAAUUAAUAAUG